UACAGAGGUCUCAAGCGUUGUUCGGAUUCAUUGGGCGUAAAGGGUGCGUAGGUGGCGCCAUAAGUCAGGUGUGAAAUCUCGGGGCUCAACCCCGAAACUGCACUUGAUACUGUGGUGCUCGAGUACUGGAGAGGAGAUUGGAAUUUACGGUGUAGCAGUGAAAUGCGUAGAGAUCGUAAGGAAGACCAGUGGCGAAGGCGAGUUUCUGGACGGUAACUGACGCUGAGGCACGAAGGCCAGGGGAGCAAACGGG
rnacentral:rRNA from 1 species